GUCUUUUUGUUAAAAAUUUAAAGUCGGGCCUGCCCACUGAAAAUUUAAAUGGCCGUGGUAUUUUGACCGUGCUAAGGUAGCAUAAUCAUUAGUUUUUUAAUUGAAAGCUGGAAUGAAAGGUUUGAUAAAAAAAUGACUGUCUCUAUUUAAUUUUAUUAGAAAUUUAUUUUUAAGUUCAAAAGCUUAAUUUUAAUUAGAAGACGAGAAGACCCUAUAGAGUUUAAUAAUUUAAGAUAAUUUAUAUUUUAGAAUUAAUUUAUUUAUUUUUUAAUAUUAUUUAAUUGGGGUGAUUGAAAAAUUUAAUUAACUUUUUUUAUAUUUAACCAUUAAUUUAUGAUAAUUUGAUCCAAUUUUUUUGAUUAUAAGAUAAAAUUACCUUAGGGAUAACAGCGUAAUUUUUUUAGAAAGUUCAAAUUAAAAGAAAAGAUUGCGACCUCGAUGUUGGAUUAAAAUUAAAUUUUGGUGUAGAAGCUAAAAAUUUAAGUCUGUUCGACUUUUAAAAUUUUACA
rnacentral:rRNA from 1 species